CUGUCAAGUCGGAUGUGAAAUCCCCGGGCUCAACCUGGGAACUGCAUUCGAAACUGGCAGGCUUGAGUCUUGUAGAGGGGGGUAGAAUUCCAGGUGUAGCGGUGAAAUGCGUAGAGAUCUGGAGGAAUACCGGUGGCGAAGGCGGCCCCCUGGACAAAGACUGACGCUCAGGUGCGAAAGCGUGGGGAGCAAACAGGAUUAGAUACCCUGGUAGUCCACGCCGUAAACGAUGUCUACUUGGAGGUUGUGCCCUUGAGGCGUGGCUUCCGGAGCUAACGCGUUAAGUAGACCGCCUGGGGAGUACGGCCGCAAGGUUAAAACUCAAAUGAAUUGACGGGGGCCCGCACAAGCGGUGGAGCAUGUGGUUUAAUUCGAUGCAACGCGAAGAACCUUACCUGGUCUUGACAUCCACAGAAGAAUCCAGAGAUGGAUUUGUGCCUUCGGGAACUGUGAGACAGGUGCUGCAUGGCUGUCGUCAGCUCGUGUUGUGAAAUGUUGGGUUAAGUCCCGCAACGAGCGCAACCCUUAUCCUUUGUUGCCAGCGGUUAGGCCGGGAACUCAAAGGAGACUGCCAGUGAUAAACUGGAGGAAGGUGGGGAUGACGUCAAGUCAUCAUGGCCCUUACGACCAGGGCUACACACGUGCUACAAUGGCGCAUACAAAGAGAAGCGACCUCGCGAGAGCAAGCGGACCUCAUAAAGUGCGUCGUAGUCCGGAUUGGAGUCUGCAACUCGACUCCAUGAAGUCGGAAUCGCUAGUAAUCGUGGAUCAGAAUGCCACGGUGAAUACGUUCCCGGGCCUUGUACACACCGCCCGUCACACCAUGGGAGUGGGUUGCAAAAGAAGUAGGUAGCUUAACCUUCGGGAGGGCGCUUACCACUUUGUGAUUCAUGACUGGGGUGAAGUCGUAACAAGGUAACCGUAGGGGAACCUGCGGUUGGAUCACCUCCUUACCUUAAAGAA
rnacentral:rRNA from 2 species